GCUGGUGUAUGUGAUGACUUCUUUUCUUUCCCCAUCUGAGCGACAGUGUUGAGUCCUCACUUCUCUUCAAGCCAAGUCUUGUCUGAUGCACCAGC
ensembl:snoRNA small nucleolar RNA, C/D box 12C